AGAAGCAUCUCCCGUGUACGGCUACGUACGUGGUUCGCUCCUCGCACCUCUCACGUCUGGCGUGGUCAGUCGAUCACCCCGCCCCGCCCCGCGCGCUCACGACACCGACACGCUCGCUCGACCGCACGCCGGAACGCGGUGGCGUGCUACGGAGUUACGAUCCAUCGCGAGAGACGCGAUCGCUGUCUUGCAUGCAGCGUACGUAUAGCCAGCCAGCCGCGCAGUGCGCCCGUGGUACCGGCGAAAGACGGUGAUGUUUGUAGAUGCGCUUCAGAUAUGAUUAGGUAGACGAUAAGUAAGAGUUCGGCCGCGUAGACGUGUGUGCGCGUAUAGGACGUCGCUAACCGCAAAACGAGAAGAAUCGCGGUGCCUGACUGACUUCAGAGAGUGCGAAGUCAUCUGUGACUGAAUGCUGCGUCUUAUCGACUCUAUAUGAACGUGGAAUUGCGAAUGCCGAACACAGAAUGUGGUGAUUAUUGACUGCAUACGGACUGUGAAGCACAUGAGCACAACAUAGACCUCGACGGAGCAGCGGCUUGCUAUGACGCCGUCAUCGCCUGAAACGCUCUCGGAAUCUCAGUCGGCGAGCGAACCCAAAUGAGUAUCGCACAUCGGAGUCGCGUUCGGAAAUCAAAAUGACUUUGAACGUUGCAAAGAACAUCGGAAUUAGCUUGAUCGUCUUCGCGUGGCUACAGUUGACGGCCACAGCACAGCUUGCAGGUACGGUGGCUACAUGCGAAAACGAGGGCGAAGUGGUAGAAGUACCUCUAACUUGGACGGACCCUUGCAAAUACACCUGUCGUUGCAAAAGCGGUCAGGUUGUGUGUGAGAAGCAGGCCUGUCCGAGUAUGGAGGGAUGUCAUGCCGUUAUCUACGGACUCGACGAUAGAUGCUGCGAAGAGUGUAAAGGCUGCGUCUACAAGAACACGACACACGUUAGCGGCACGAGCUGGAUGGACGCACACGACCCCUGCAGAGAGUUCACAUGUCAGGCGGGCGUUCUUUCGGUAACGGAAACAAAAUGUUACACGCCCUGCGAUGAUCCAGUGGAUGUCAAGGAUCAGUGUUGUCCCGUCUGUGAAGGAUGUGGUACCUAUAAGGAAGGGGAAACAUUUACACUGGACACCGAUAUAUGCGUGCAGUGCACCUGCAAGAAAAACAGAUUCGAAUGCUUCAAGCGGGCCUGUCCCGUGCUUUCUUGCUCCGCAUCGCACGUAGCCGUGCGGGAAGGACACUGUUGCCCCGAAUGUAGAGGAACUCGCAUGGUAUUCGAAGUGUUCAAUCGCUGUUUGCUUGGAAACAAGAUCUAUAACGACGGACAGAGCUUUCAGAUUGGUCUUUGCACAUCCUGCACGUGUAUGGACUCUACUUCAGUAUGUCAUACGAAGGCUUGUCCACCGCUAGACUGUGCCCAAGAACUACAAAUACAGAUGAGCGAAGAGUGCUGCCCGAAGUGUAUGGCCGAGGAAGAGAAGACAUGUAAAUACAGGAAUGUCACAUACGAGGAUGGGCAGGAAUGGAAGCUGGACGCCUGUACAGUAUGCGUGUGCACAGAAAGAGAGAUUAUGUGUCAUGUAAUUGAGUGCCCACAGGAUCUCAAAUGCUCUCAGGGUUUUAAACCAAAGAAGUUGUCAAGCGAAUGCUGCACAAGAUGUGUUGAAGACGACGCCGUCUGUACUGUGUACGGCGAUCCACACUACAUCACGUUCGAUGGGAAGACGUAUAACUUCCAGGGCCGGUGUAAGUACGUGCUGGCGCAGGACUGCAAGAACAAGACCUUCUCCGUGCGAGCGCAGAACGACGCCCGCGUCAGCGCCGAGUUCGCCUGGACGAAGAUGAUUGAAGUUGUCGUUAAUAAAUUAAAGAUACGCAUGAGGCCAGGUCUAGAAGUAAGAGUGCAACGUAAAGUUGUGCGUCUCCCAUACAUCAAGCUGGGCUUGUUCUCUAUAGUAAAAGAUAGCUUCAGCAUUGUACUGAGGACUACGUUCGGUGUUAAAGUUGUGUGGGAUGGCGACAGCUAUGCGGAGAUAACAGUGGACCCCAAAUAUAAAAGUACUCUGUGCGGGCUCUGUGGGAACUACAAUGGAAACCCCGAUGACGAUUUCACGAACAAGAGAGGAAAGCUACUCGAGGAUAAGGAAAGAUUUGGUCGUGCAUACAGGACAUGUGUGACUGCCCGCGGCACAGAAGCUGCGCGUGUGAAACUGUGAUUGCUUAUGCGAUGGCCUGCAGUCGAAAUGGGAUAGAUGUAGCGUGGCAGGAAUACACAACAUGUGGAGAACGGCAGUGUCAAGAAGGAGAAAUAUACGAUCACUGCGGGCCGCGAUGCCAGCAAACAUGUGACACGAUCAAUCACAACUCUAUUAUGCCAGCCUGUAAAGGCGAGAGACAUUGCAUUGCUGGCUGCCGCUGCAUAACAAGAAAAGUAUUGCACAAUGGACGGUGUAUAAGGCCGAAUGAUUGUCCCAGCGGUAGUUAACACAGGGCUUUCCAUAGCAAACAAAUAAGAGAAUACAAUGUU
rnacentral:misc_RNA from 1 species